rnacentral:rRNA from 1 species
AUUGAACGCUGGCGGCAUGCCUUACACAUGCAAGUCGAACGGCAGCACGGGAGCAAUCCUGGUGGCGAGUGGCGAACGGGUGAGUAAAGUAUCGGAACGUGCCCAGUCGUGGGGGAUAACGUAGCGAAAGUUACGCUAAUAACGCAUACGAUCUAUGGAUGAAAGCGGGGGAUCGCAAGACCUCGCGCGAUUGGAGCGGCCGAUAUCAGAUUAGGUAGUUGGUGGGGUAAAGGCUCACCAAGCCGACGCUCUGUAGCUGGUCUGAGAGGACGACCAGCCACACUGGGACUGAGACACGGCCCAGACUCCUACGGGAGGCAGCAGUGGGGAAUUUUGGACAAUGGGCGCAAGCCUGAUCCAGCAAUGCCGCGUGCAGGAUGAAGGCCUUCGGGUUGUAAACUGCUUUUGUACGGAACGAAACGGCGAGCUCUAAUACAGUUUGCUAAUGACGGUACCGUAAGAAUAAGCACCGGCUAACUACGUGCCAGCCGCCGCCGUAA